rnacentral:rRNA from 1 species
AACGAACGCUGGCGGCAUGCCUAACACAUGCAAGUCGAACGAGACCUUCGGGUUUAGUGGCGCACGGGUGCGUAACGCGUGGGAAACUGCCCUUAGGUUCGGAAUAACUCCCCGAAAGGGGUGCUAAUACCGGAUAAUGUCUUCGGACCAAAGAUUUAUCGCCUUUGGAUGGGCCCGCGUUGGAUUAGCUAGUUGGUAGGGUAAAAGCCUACCAAGGCGACGAUCCAUAGCUGGUCUGAGAGGAUGAUCAGCCACACUGGGACUGAGACACGGCCCAGACUCCUACGGGAGGCAGCAGUGGGGAAUAUUGGACAAUGGGAUGAAGACUGAUCCAGCAAUGCCGCGUGAGUGAUGAAGGCCUUAGGGUUGUAAAGCUCUUUUACCCGGGAUGAUAAUGACAGUACCGGGAGAAUAAGCACCGGCUACCUCCGUG